CCUAGAACUCAGAUUGAAGUUCGCCUGUUUUCACCUCGUUUAUACGGGAUGGGUCGAGGACCGGUGAAAGUGUGGACUGCGCCGUGUAUAGCGGAGGCUCGUCCACUUUGAAGCCGCUUCGUUUUGUCAGGGGUUGUACUCAAUCUGGCAUAUCAGGGUGAUUCGAGACGAAGGAAGCUCUGCCUUUCUUGUCUAUAUGGCCUCCCUGAGGGCGGUUUCAACUAUCCGUGACAGAUUCACGAUGGACCCUCUUAUCCACCUUAUGCCUGUGUGUAUGACCUUCUUUUGCAAGGAAGAAGCAGAUUUUCCGCAUGCGGAGGUGAGUCGCUCCUUACUUGAGAAUUUAAACGUGUGAUAAAGCCUAAUCGGCCAGGUGCGCACUCUAAAGUACCUCAAUGUUACAUGACAUUGUGACCCCAGUGGGACCAUUUUAUCGUGUUCGAUUUCGAGAGGAGGGCAACGAACGUGCAGACCGAACUACCGAGAUCCGAUUCGUUGAUGCUUUACGAGUAGUGAAGAAUGCAAUAACGGAAUGUCGCAGCGUCAAUGGCCCAGUACGAAAACUUGGGAGUCAAGAGCAGCACUGUACGAUGCCCCCUCCACGAGAGGCUGAUACGAAAGGAAGGGUUUCCUCUGUUUGGUGAUAGGCUAUUCCCGAUUGACAUACAGACACCAGCUUUUGAGGAAAACCCAGUGCGGGUGUACCCCGCUUGUAGAGAAUAGUCGCGCAGUGUGUCAUACUUGGUCGAGGAGUGAGUACCAGGGCUUGACCUUAUAGGGGACGAGAAGGCAUGAUAACUGAUAUAAAAACAGGCUUUGGGCAUGAGAGUAGGUUGUGGAUCCACUGUUUCGAUUUUUAAGAGAAACCUUCUGACGAUGCUCCCGUUUAGUAGGAAUUUCGCCGCUUUGACAUUUUCAAGUAGGCGGAGUAAGCGUAGGAAUCACUGUCUUCCAUUGAGCCUGCAGUUUCUCGCAGUGACCUCAGGCCAAAAUCGGUGAUUUUAAGAA